rnacentral:rRNA from 1 species
GAUAAACGCUGGCGGCGUGCCUUAUGCAUGCAAGUCGAACGAGGCUAGGACUUCGGUCCGAAACCUAGUGGCGAACGGGUGAGUAACACGUACGUGACCUGUCCAGAAGUGGGGGAUAACCGGCCGAAAGGUUGGCUAAUACCGCAUGUGAUUACCCCUUGGAAGGGGCAAAUCAAAGUCGAAAGACGCUUUUGGAGGGGCGUGCGGCCGAUUAGCUUGUUGGUGUGGUAACGGCGCACCAAGGCAGUGAUCGGUAGCUGGUCUGAGAGG